rnacentral:rRNA from 1 species
UACGAAGGGGGCUAGCGUUGUUCGGAAUUACUGGGCGUAAAGGGCGCGUAGGCGGUGUGUCAAGUCAGGCGUGAAAGCCCCGGGCUCAACCUGGGAACCGCGCUUGAGACUGGCGCGCUCGAGUUCGGGAGAGGAUGGUGGAAUUCCCAGUGUAGAGGUGAAAUUCGUAGAUAUUGGGAAGAACACCGAUGGCGAAGGCAGCCAUCUGGACCGACACUGACGCUGAGGCGCGAAAGCGUGGGGAGCAAACAGG